rnacentral:sRNA from 1 species
CUGGACCCGCAGGCCCUGCAGGACAGAGACUGGCAGCGCACCAUCAUCUCCAUGAAUGUGAUCGAAGUAAAGCUCUCGGUCAAGUUCAACAGCAGGGAGUUCAGCUUGAAGAGGAUGCCAUCCCAGAAACAGACAGGGGUCUUCAGAGUCAAGAUUGCUGUGGUCACCAAGAGAGAGAGGUCCAAGGUGCCCUACAUCGUGCGCCAGUGCGUGGAGGAGAUCGAGCGCCGAGGCAUGGAGGAGAUAACAAGGACGUGUCGGUGAUGAUGAGCGAGACGGACAUGAACGCCAUCGCAGGCACGCUGAAGCUGUACUUCCGUGAGCUGCCCGAGCCCCUCUUCACUGACAAGUUCUACCCCAACUUCGCAGAGGGCAUCGGGUGGCAGAGAAGGAGGUGGUCAAUAAGAUGUCCCUGCACAACCUCGCCACUGUCUUUGGCCCCACGCUGCUCCGGCCCUCCGAGAAGGAGAGCAAGCUCCCUGCCAACCCCAGCCAGCCCAUCACCAUGACUGACAGCAGGUCCUUGGAGGU